UACGUAGGGGGCAAGCGUUGUCCGGAAUUAUUGGGCGUAAAGAGCGCGUAGGCGGUCCGGUAAGUCGGCUGUGAAAGUCAAGGGCUCAACCCUUGAAAGCCGGCCGAUACUGUCGGACUAGAGUCCGGAAGAGGCGAGUGGAAUUCCCGGUGUAGCGGUGAAAUGCGCAGAUAUCGGGAGGAACACCAGUGGCGAAGGCGGCCGGCUGGGGGUGACCUGACGCUGAGGCGCGAGAGCGUGGGGAGCGAACCGG
rnacentral:rRNA from 1 species